rnacentral:rRNA from 1 species
UGACUGCCGGUGACAAACCGGAGGAAGGUGGGGAUGACGUCAAAUCAUCAUGCCCCUUAUGAUUUGGGCUACACACGUGCUACAAUGGACAAUACAAAGGGCAGCGAAACCGCGAGGUCAAGCAAAUCCCAUAAAGUUGUUCUCAGUUCGGAUUGUAGUCUGCAACUCGACUACAUGAAGCUGGAAUCGCUAGUAAUCGUAGAUCAGCAUGCUACGGUGAAUACGUUCCCGGGUCUUGUACACACCGCCCGUCACACCACGAGAGUUUGUAACACCCGAAGCCGGUGGAGUAACCUUUUAGGAGCUAGCCGUCGAAGGUGGGACAAAUGAUUGGGGUGAAGUCGUAACAAGGUAGCCGUAUCGGAAGGUGCGGCUGGAUCACCUCCUUUCUAAGGA